UACAGAGGUCUCAAGCGUUGUUCGGAUUCAUUGGGCGUAAAGGGUGCGUAGGCGGCGCGGUAAGUCGGGUGUGAAAUCUUGGAGCUUAGCUCGAAACUGCAUUCGAUACUGCCGUGCUUGAGGACUGGAGAGGAGACUGGAAUUUACGGUGUAGCGGUGAAAUGCGUAGAUAUCGUAAGGAAGACCAGUGGCGAAGGCGGGUCUCUGGACAGUUCCUGACGCUGAGGCACGAAGGUCAGGGGAGCAAACGGG
rnacentral:rRNA from 1 species